rnacentral:rRNA from 1 species
GAGUUUGAUCAUGGCUCAGAUUGAACGCUGGCGGCAGGCCUAACACAUGCAAGUCGGGCGGUAGAGAGAAGCUUGCUUCUCUUGAGAGCGGCGGACGGGUGAGUAAUGCCUAGGAAUCUGCCUGGUAGUGGGGGAUAACGCUCGGAAACGGACGCUAAUACCGCAUACGUCCUACGGGAGAAAGCAGGGGACCUUCGGGCCUUGCGCUAUCAGAUGAGCCUAGGUCGGAUUAGCUAGUUGGUGAGGUAAUGGCUCACCAAGGCGACGAUCCGUAACUGGUCUGAGAGGAUGAUCAGUCACACUGGAACUGAGACACGGUCCAGACUCCUACGGAGGCAGCAGUGGGGAAUAUUGGACAAUGGGCGAAAGCCUGAUCCAGCCAUGCCGCGUGUGUGAAGAAGGUCUUCGGAUUGUAAAGCACUUUAAGUUGGGAGAAGGGCAGUAAUUAAUACUUUGCUGUUUGACGUUACGACAGAAU